rnacentral:lncRNA from 1 species
AACAACAAUUAUCUCGAAAGAGUAAAAAUGAUCAAACUUUAAACCCCAGCUGGCACCAGUCGACUGAUGAUCAAAGGAAAGACUCGAUCGUGGAGAAAAAGGAAAAACCUCCGAGUAUUAGGAUCGAUGACGCAAAAGUGGCAGAAAGGUCACGACACCAGGACGUGCAAGUUUAUGAAGGAAAAGUAAAAGCUCCACUCAUUGAAG